UGCGUAACACGUAGCUACUUGCCCCACAGUGGGGGAUAACCCGGGGAAACCCGGGCUAAUACCGCAUACACCCGAGAGGGGAAAGCCGAAAGGCGCUGUGGGAUAGGGCUGCGGCGUAUCAGGUAGUUGGUGGGGUAACGGCCUACCAAGCCGAUGACGCGUAGCUGGUCUGAGAGGAUGAUCAGCCACACUGGAACUGAGACACGGUCCAGACUCCUACGGGAGGCAGCAGUGGGGAAUCUUGGGCAAUGGGGGAAACCCUGACCCAGCAACGCCGCGUGGAGGAAGACGCCCUUCGGGGUGUAAACUCCUUUUGCAGGGGAAGAGAGAGACGGUACCCUGCGAAUAAGCUCCGGCUAACUCCGUGCCAGCAGCCGCGGUAAUACGGGGGGAGCUAGCGUUACUCGGAAUCACUGGGCGUAAAGGGUGCGUAGGCGGCUUAGUAAGUUGGGAGUGAAAUCCCACGGCUCAACCGUGGAACUGCUUCCAAAACUGCUAAGCUAGAGUCCGGGAGAGGCCGAGGGAAUUCCUGGUGUANGGGUGAAAUCCGU
rnacentral:rRNA from 1 species